rnacentral:rRNA from 1 species
AAUUCGAUUUGAGUUUGAUCAUGGCUCAGAACGAACGUUAGCGGCGCGCCUAACACAUGCAAGUCGCACGAGAAAGGGCUUCGGCCCCGGUACAGUGGCGCACGGGUGAGUAACACGUGGGUAAUCUGCCUUCGAGCGGGGGAUAACAUUCCGAAAGGAGUGCUAAUACCGCAUAAGACCACGCCCUCGAAAGAGGAAGCGGUCAAAGCUGACCUCUAUACAUAAGUUAGCACUUGAAGAUGAGCCCGCGGAGCAUCAGCUAGUUGGUGAGGUAAUGGCUCACCAAGGCUUAGACGCUUAGCUGGUCUGAGAGGAUGAUCAGCCACACUGGAACUGAGACACGGUCCAGACUCCUACGGGAGGCAGCAGUGGGGAAUCUUGCGCAAUGGGCGAAAGCCUGACGCAGCGACGCCGCGUGAGUGAUGAAGGCCUUCGGGUUGUAAAGCUCUGUGGGGAGAGAAGAAUAAGUGCGGGCUAAUACUCCGCAUGAUGACGGUAUCUCCUUAGCAAGCACCGGCUAACUCUGUGCCAGCAGCCGCGGUAAGACAGAGGGUGCAAACGUUGUUCGGAAUUACUGGGCGUAAAGCGAGUGUAGGCGGUUUGGUAAGUCGGAUGUGAAAGCCCCGGGCUCAACCCGGGAAGUGCACUCGAUACUGCCAAGCUAGAGUAUCGGAGAGGUUGGUGGAAUUCUCGGUGUAGAGGUGAAAUUCGUAGAUAUCGAGAGGAACACCGGUGGCGAAGGCGGCCA